rnacentral:rRNA from 1 species
UACGGGGGGAGCAAGCGUUGUUCGGAUUUACUGGGCGUAAAGGGCGCGUAGGCGGUCGUGACAAGUCACUUGUGAAAUCUCCGGGCUUAACUCGGAACGGUCAAGUGAUACUGUCGUGCUAGAGUACAGAAGGGGCAACUGGAAUUCUCGGUGUAGCGGUGAAAUGCGUAGAUAUCGAGAGGAACACCUGCGGCGAAGGCGGGUUGCUGGGCUGACACUGACGCUGAGGCGCGAAAGCUAGGGGAGCGAACGGG